rnacentral:tRNA from 1 species
GCGGGUACAGCUCAGUGAUAAAGCAAAUUCUUAGCAUGCAUAAGGCCCUGGGUUCAAUCCCCAGUACCUCCA